CAGUCGCCGCGGGAAUACGUAGGGUGCGAGCGUUAAUCGGAAUUACUGGGCGUAAAGCGUGCGCAGGCGGCUUUGCAAGACAGAUGUGAAAUCCCCGGGCUCAACCUGGGAACUGCAUUUGUGACUGCAAGGCUAGAGUGCGGCAGAGGGAGAUGGAAUUCCGCGUGUAGCAGUGAAAUGCGUAGAUAUGCGGAGGAACACCGAUGGCGAAGGCAAUCUCCUGGGCCUGCACUGACGCUCAUGCACGAAAGCGUGGGGAGCAAACAGGAUUAGAGACCCCCGUAGUCCCUGUCUCUUAUAC
rnacentral:rRNA from 1 species